GAUGAACGCUGGCGGCGUGCCUAAUACAUGCAAGUCGAGCGAACGGACGAGAAGCUUGCUUUUCUGAUGUUAGCGGCGGACGGGUGAGUAACACGUGGAUAACCUACCUAUAAGACUGGGAUAACUUCGGGAAACCGGAGCUAAUACCGGAUAAUAUUUUGAACCGCAUGGUUCAAAAGUGAAAGACGGUCUUGCUGUCACUUAUAGAUGGAUCCGCGCUGCAUUAGCUAGUUGGUAAGGUAACGGCUUACCAAGGCAACGAUGCAUAGCCGACCUGAGAGGGUGAUCGGCCACACUGGAACUGAGCCACGGUCCAGACUCCUACGGGAGGCAGCAGUGGGGAAUCUUCCGCAAUGGGCGAAAGCCUGACGGAGCAACGCCGCGUGAGUGAUGAAGGUCUUCGGAUCGUAAACCUCUGUUAUUGGGGAAGACCAUAUGUGUAAGUAACUGUGCACAUCUUGACGGUACUAAUCAGAAAGCCACGGCUAACUACGUG
rnacentral:rRNA from 1 species